rnacentral:sRNA from 1 species
GCGCGGCCAUGGCGCUCCUGCUUUCGGUGCUGCGUGUACUGCUGGGCGGCUUCUUCGCGCUCGUGGGGUUGGCCAAGCUCUCGGAGGAGAUCUCGGCUCCAGUUUCGGAGCGGAUGGUCAGAGAUGAACAGCAGUGUUGGGGACCUGGGUGUUGGCGCCUGCAGCCUCUGGGAUGACCCUGCUCGCUUCAUCGUGGUGCCCGCGGCCUAUGCCUUGGCACUGGGCCUGGGGCUGCCAGCCAACGUGGCGGCCCUGGCAAUGUUCAUCCGCAGCGGCGGGCGCCUGGGCCAGGCCCUGCUUCUCUACCUGUUCAACCUGGCUCUGGUUGAUGAGUUCUUCACGCUCACGCUGCAGCUGUGGCUCACCUACUACCUGGGCCUGGCCCGGAGGCCGCCUGCCACGCGGCCGGGGCCACCUACUACGUGUCCACCUAUGCGGCGGUGGUCUUCGCCGCGCUCAUCAGCGUGUGCCGCUGCGGCUUCGUACGCGGCUCCGGGCCCAGGGCGGCUGCCCGCCUGGCCCGGUGCCUACGGCGCCCCGCGCGCGCUGCCUGCGCCUUCGCCUGGCUGGGGGCCUGGCCCCUCCCUGCCUGGAGCACCGCUGGGCAAGCUCGGGGCUGGCCUCCGCCACGGUGGCCUUCGCGGCCGCCUUCCUGCUGGUGCUCGCGGCCAACGUGAGCCUGGCGCGGGCGCUCAAGGCGCCCUCUGGCCUGGGCCCGGGCCCGGGCCCGGGCCCUGCAACCGCCGGCGCGCACCGGCGCGCGGCCAAGACCAUGGUCCUGGGGUUCCUGCUGGUCUUCGCCCUCAGUCUGGCGCCCUACCACCUGCUGCUGGCGCCCUAGGUGGCUGGGGGGGAAGACAACGGAGACCGGUGUCGCGCCGCCUCCACGCUCGACAUCCUGCACACCCUCAGCCUGGCGCUGCUGAGCCUCAACAGCUGCCUGGACCCACUCAUCUGCUGCUUCUUCGUGCGCCGCUUCCACCAGGACUGCUGCUGGGCACUGAGCUGCCGCCUGGUGAAGGGGGCGCCCAGGGCGCAUGGGGCCUCCUUGGCCUCCUCUUGGAGAGUCUCCUGGCCUCCCCUCCUGUGUCACCCCCCUGUCACCCUCCCAGUGGCAUCCAGGGUGGAGAAAGCUCUUUGGAAAGACCUAGAUUCUAAUCCUGACGCAACCACAUACUACCUCUGUAGCUGUGAACCUCCGGGCUCAUCUGUACCAAGGACAUAGAACAUUCUUUGUAACCCGAAUGUUCCCUGGAUGUUGCCAGCUUUUGGAUACAAAUAAUAUACCACUGUGUUUUUUUUAAACCUCUUGGGAUAAAACCCAAAGUCCUUAUCAUGGCCUACAAGGCCCUGUCUGAUUUGGCUCCCCUUUCUCUCCAGACCUUAACCCACCACCCCUGCGUCUCCCUGCAGGCAGUCACCUUCUUAGGCCCGGGAAAAUGCCGGUCUCCUACUCUUCACGGCCUUUGUACCUGACUUGGCCAGGAAUGAUCUCUGUUCCUCUCUUUCACUAAGUUAGUUCUUCUUCACCCUCACUUCCUCUAAAGUAACUCCUUAUAGGGAAGCCUUUCUUGGCUGGCAACACACACACACACACACAUACACACACGACUGAAUCAGAUCGGAUUGCUCUUUGAUAGCUCUUUUCAUAAUUGUAAUCAAGCAAUUAAUUGGGUAAUGCGUUGUUGUUGUUUUCUUUCUCUCUUGCCAGAAUGUAUUCAUGUUGACCCAUAAGACAUUAUCAUUUUUAUAAGUCCCCAAAAGUUGAAUAUUGGAAAUUUUAUUUCCACCCAAUUCAACUUAAUAAAUUCUGUGUUUACCUUGCUCACUGCUGUAUCUCCUGUGGUUGGUACUGUGCCUUGCAUAUAAUAAGAGCUCAGUGUAUCAGAUGCGUAAGUGAAAACUGAAUAUCAUUAAUUUAAAUUGCUUAAGUACUCACUCAGACAUUCCAGUCUCUGAUAGCUUUUCCUCAAGUGUUUCUGAGAUUCUCCAAGCUUGUCUUACCCACCCCCGACCAUGCAUUCCUAGCCCAGUCCUGAUGACUGUCUCCUUCUGCUGUUGCUGGAUACUUGCAGUUCUGCCAUCACCUCCACUGUACCAAGACUUGGUGGGAAGUAAGCUGGAGAUCCAGGCUGCUGGAGAUCCAACGCCUGCUGCCUCCAGACUCUUUCAUGAGCGCCAAUCUCUGCCAGGGGCUCCGGCUACCAGUGCUUCCCCUUCUGUGCUUUGACAACUCUGCAGUCUGCUUCUAAUGGGAAAGGGCACCACUCUCCUCAGCCACAUUAUUGGGGCCCCACAGCAAGACUGCUUGGGUCUCAAGGAAAUCGAGCUUAAUGAAUGAGAGCAAACCCUCUUCAUUUGGCCAUGUCAGCCUGUCAGGAAGGGUCCAUCAAUCAGCCACCAUGUCUUACCUGCCUUUAGGUCCUGUUGCUGAGUUUGACUUCUAAGGAUACAUUUGGUAAAUUCCUUUUUUUCUUGAUGAAUUACCUCUUAUUGGUCCCUAAUUCCUUCUUUAACUUUUUUCUUUUCCAUUUUAAAAGCAAUAUAGGUUCAUAAAAGUAAAUUCAAAGCAGUAGAGAAAAAUGUAAGAUAGGAAGUACUAGCCUGGGCAACGUGGCGAAACCCUGUCUCUACAAAAAAUACAAAAAUUAGCCGGGCGUGGUCCUAGCUACUCGGGAGACUGAAGUGGAAGGCUUGCUUGAGCCCGGGAGGUCAAGGCUGCAGUGAGCCGUGAUGGCGCCACUGCACUUCAGCCUUGGAGACAGGGGAGACCCUAUGUCAAAAAAGAAAUAAAAAGAAAGUAAAAGUCCCCUAGUGAUAGCCACUAUUCACAGCUUCUCAUUUGUGUAGCUUUCCAGAUAUUUUCGAUUCCACUGUAAGUCCACAUGUCAUCAGUUUUCUUUAAAAACCUACAAAUGGGAUAGUAUUGCAAGGUUCUUCUGCAAUUUACUUUUCUCAUUGUUUCUUAUAUAUCGUUCCAUAUUAGCACAUAUAGAUAGAUUCAUCUCGUUUUUUCAAUAGAUGCAGAGUAUUCAUUUUACUCAAUUGGUCCCCUACUGAUGGGCAUUUGUUGCCAUUAUUUUACUGUUAUAAACAAUGCUUCAGUGAAUGCUCUUGUUCACAAAUGUUUGCGUACUUGUAAAUCUGUAGAAUAAAUUCCUGGCAACGAAA